AGCGAACGCUGGCGGCAGGCCUAACACAUGCAAGUCGAACGAGGUCUUCGGACCUAGUGGCGGACGGGUGAGUAACACGUGGGAACGUGCCCUUUGGUACGGAAUAACUCAGGGAAACUUGAGCUAAUACCGUAUGUGCCCUUCGGGGGAAAGAUUUAUCGCCAUUGGAGCGGCCCGCGUCUGAUUAGCUAGUUGGUGAGGUAAUGGCUCACCAAGGCGACGAUCAGUAGCUGGUCUGAGAGGAUGACCAGCCCCAUUGGGACUGAGACACGGCCCAAACUCCUACGGGAGGCAGCAGUGGGGAAUCUUGCGCAAUGGGCGAAAGCCUGACGCAGCCAUGCCGCGUGGAUGAUGAAGGUCUUAGGAUUGUAAAAUCCUUUCACCGGUGAAGAUAAUGACUGUAGCCGGAGAAGAAGCCCCGGCUAACUUCGUGCCAGCAGCCGCCGUAAGAC
rnacentral:rRNA from 1 species